GAUGAACGCUGGCGGCGUGCCUAAUACAUGCAAGUCGAGCGAACGGACGAGAAGCUUGCUUCUCUGAUGUUAGCGGCGGACGGGUGAGUAACACGUGGAUAACCUACCUAUAAGACUGGUAUAACUUCGGGAAACCGGAGCUAAUACCGGAUAAUAUUUUGAACCGCAUGGUUCAAAAGUGAAAGACGGUCUUUCUGUCACUUAUAGAUGGAUCCGCGCUGCAUUAGCUAGUUGGUAAGGUAACGGCUUACCAAGGCAACGAUGCAUAGCCGACCUGAGAGGGUGAUCGGCCACACUGGAACUGAGACGCGGCCCAGACUCCUACGGGAGGCAGCAGUAGGGAAUCUUCCGCAAUGGGCGAAAGCCUGACGGAGCAACGCCGCGUGAGUGAUGAAGGUCUUCGGAUCGUAAAACUCUGUUAUUAGGGAAGAACAGAUGUGUAAGUAACUGUGCACAUCUUGACGGUACCUAAUCAGAAAGCCACGGCUAACUACGUG
rnacentral:rRNA from 1 species